CAGACCCUACGGGGUGCAGCAGGCGCGAAAACUUCACACUGCAGGAAACUGUGAUGAGGGAAUUCCAAGUGGCUAGACAAAGUCUAGUCUUUUACUAACUUUUAAUCGGUUGGUGAAUAAGGGGUGGGAAAGACCGGUGCCAGCCGCCGUGGUAAUACCGGCACCCCAAGUGGUCGUCGCUUUUAUUGGGCCUAAAACGUCCGUCGCCUGUUUGGUACAUUCGUGGGUAAAUCAAGCCGCUUAACGGCUUGAAUUCUGCGAGGACGGCCAGACUAGGGACCGGGAGAGGUAUGGGGUACUCUCAGGGUAGGGGUAAAAUCCAGUCAUCCUGAGGGGACCACCUGUUGCGAAGGCGCCAUACUAGAACGGAUCCGACGGUCAGGGACGAAGCCUAGGGGCGCGAACCGGAUUAGAUACCCGGGUAGUCCUAGGUGUAAACGCUGUGGACUUGGUGUUGGGGAUUCUACGAGUAUCCCCAGUGCCGAAGUGAAGAUGUUAAGUCCACUGCCUGGGGAGUACGGUCGCAAGGCUGAAACUUAAAGGAAUUGGCGGGGGAGCACAGCAACGAGAGGAGCGUGCGGUUU
rnacentral:rRNA from 1 species